rnacentral:rRNA from 1 species
AUGUCCAUGGUCGAUGACAAUUCGAUCUCAACUUCUCGGGCUAUGUUAAAACCAAUGACGAAUAUGGUUCACAUCGAUGAGAAGUGGUUUGACAUGAUGAGAGUGAAGAAUAGUUACUAUGUACUUCCAGGAGAACCUGAACCGAAGCGCACCGUGUCAAACACUCACAACAUUGGGAAGGUGAUGUUCCUAACAGCUGUUGACAAGCCUCGAUAUAACAAUGAGGGGGAGCUAACAUUCGAUGGGAAGAUCGGCAUUUGGGCAUUUGUCGAAGAGACUGAGGCGAAGCGGACAAGUCAAAACAGAGCAAAGGGAACAAAAGUGUUGACAUCAGUGAAAGUAACCAGGCCUGUGUGCAGAGAUUAUCUAAUCAAUAAGGUUAUCCCGGCAAUUCAGGAUAAGUGGCCUGGCGAUGAUGAGGGAGCGACAAUAUUCAUCCAACAGGAUAACGCAAAGCCUCAUGUCCUUCCCAAUGAUGUAGCUUUUCGAGAAGCUAUGGAACAAAUUGAUCUUGACAUCCGAUUGCUACAACAGCCCCCAAAUAGCCCUGAGUUAAAUUGUUUGGACCUCUGCUUCCAUACCUCUCUCCAGUCUCUAACCGACUGCAGGUCACCUACAAACAUCCAGGAACUGGUACAGGAUGUGGAAGAGGAAUUCGAGAACUACGAUCCCGACAAGUUGCACAGAAGCUUUAUCACAUUAGAAGCAGUUAUGUUUGAAGUUAUGAAAGCAAAAGGAGGAAAUCAAUAUAAGUCACCCCACUUGCACAAGGAUCGCGUUCAGAAUGCUGGAAUGGAAAUAACCGGUGUAUAUUGCGACAGUCGGGUAGUUGUUGAUACGAGGGCCAUUAUAGAAGAAAUGGAAAUUGCAAUAGGAAAAGAAAAUGAAAGGAAAGAAUUA